rnacentral:tRNA from 1 species
GCGACAGGUAGCUCAGUUGGUAGAGCAAUCGGCUGUUAACCGAUCGGUCGCAGGUUCGAGUCCUGCCUGUGGAGCCA